AGAGUUUGAUCCUGGCUCAGGAUGAACGCUGGCGGUGUGCCUUAGGCAUGCAAGUCGAACGAGAACCCCGCCUCGGCGGGGGGACAGUGGCAGACGGGUGAGUAACACGUAGGAAUGUACCUGGAAAUGGGGGAUAGCUCGCCGAAAGGCGGGGUAAUACCGCAUGUGCCCGCAAGGGUAAAGACGCAAGUCGUUUUCAGAGCAGCCUGCGCGCUAUCAGCUAGUUGGUGAGGUAACGGCUCACCAAGGCUACGACGGCUAGCCGAUGUGAGAGCGUGAUCGGCCACAAAGUUACUGAGACACGGAACUUACACCUACGGGUGGCAGCAACCGGGAAUAUUGCGCAAUGGACGAAAGUCUGACGCAGCGACACCGCGUGUGGGAAGACGCUUUUCGGAGUGUAAACCACUGUGGCGAGGGAGAAAGAUCUGAUAGUACCUCGCUAGAAAGCACCAGCUAACCACGUGCCAGAAGCUUCGGUAAUACGUGGGGUGCAAGCGUUAUCCGGAUUUACUGGGCGUAAAGGGUCUGUCGGCGUUCUUUUACGUUUCUUGUUCAAGCCCGGGGCUCAACUCCGGAUCGGCAAGGAAAACGGGAAGAAUAGAGUGUGUUCGAGGAAACUAGAAUUCUCGGUGGAGGGGUGAAAUCCGUAGAUAUCGAGAGGAAUACCAUGCGCGAAGGCAGGUUUCUAGGACAUUACUGACGCUCAGAGACGAAAGCUUGGGUAGCAAAAGGGAUUAGAGACCCCUGUAGUCCAAGCCGUAAACACUCCUUGCUAGUUGUUUCACCCUUGCGGUGGGAUGACGUAAGCUAACGCGUUAAGCAAGGCGCCUGGGGAGUACGACCGCAAGGUUAAAACUCAAAGGAAUUGACGGGGGAGCGCACAACCGGUGGAGCAUGUGGUUUAAUUCGAUACGAAGCGAAAGACCUUACCCAGAUUUGACAUGUACCUGCACGUCCUAGGAAACUAGGGCUUCUUCGAGAGUGGUACACAGGUGAUGCAUGGCUGUCGUCAGCUCGUGUCGUGAGGCGUCCGCUUAAGUGCGGUAACGAGCGCCACCCUUGCUCUGUGUUACACGUAUCACAGAGGACUGCCCCGCCUAUGGCGGGGAGGAAGGAGAGGACGACGUCAAGUCAGCAUGUCCCUUACAUCUGGGGCUACACACAUCCUACAAUGGAGCCGACAACAGGUAGCGACGGGGUAACCCUGAGCCAAUCCUCAAACGGCCCCUCAGUUCGGAUUGAGGGCUGCAAUUCGCCCUCAUGAAGCCGGAAUCGGUAGUAAUCGCAAAUCAGCAGGUUGCGGUGAAUACGUUCUCGCUCCUUGUACACACCGCCCGUC
rnacentral:rRNA from 1 species